AUUGAACGCUGGCGGCAGGCCUAACACAUGCAAGUCGAGCGGAUGAAGGGAGCUUGCUCCUGGAUUCAGCGGCGGACGGGUGAGUAAUGCCUGGGAAUCUGCCUGGUAGUGGGGGAUAACGUCCGGAAACGGGCGCUAAUACCGCAUACGUCCUGAGGGAGAAAGUGGGGGAUCUUCGGACCUCACGCUAUCAGAUGAGCCUAGGUCGGAUUAGCUAGUUGGUGGGGUAAAGGCCUACCAAGGCGACGAUCCGUAACUGGUCUGAGAGGAUGAUCAGUCACACUGGAACUGAGACACGGUCCAGACUCCUACGGGAGGCAGCAGUGGGGAAUAUUGGACAAUGGGCGAAAGCCUGAUGCAGCCAUGCCGCGUGUGUGAAGAAGGUCUUCGGAUUGUAAAGCACUUUAAGUUGGGAGGAAGGGCAGUAAGUUAAUACCUUGCUGUUUUGACGUUACCAACAGAAUAAGCACCGGCUAACUUCGUG
rnacentral:rRNA from 1 species